rnacentral:rRNA from 1 species
GACGAACGCUGGCGGCGUGCUUAACACAUGCAAGUCGAACGGAAAUGCCCUGCUGUUGUGGGUUGCUCGAGUGGCGAAAGGGUGAUUAACGCGUGAGUAACCUGCCCUUGACUUUGGGAUAACUUCAGGAAACUGGGGCUAAUAACGGAUAGGAGCUCCUGCUGCAUGGUGGGGGUUGGAAAGUUUCGGCGGUUGGGGAUGGACUCGCGGCUUAUCAUCUUGUUGGUGGGGUAGUGUCUUACCAAGUCUUUGACGGGUAGGCGGCCUGAGAGGGUGACCGGCCACAUUGGGACUGAGAUACGGCCCAGACUCCUACGGGAGGCAGCAGUGGGGAAUCUUGCACAAUGGGCGGAAGCCUGAUGAAGCAACGCCGCGUGCGGGAUGACGGCCUUCGGGUUGUAAACCGCUUUCGCCUGUGACGAAGCGUGAGUGACGGUAAUGGGUAAAGAAGCACCGGCUAACUACGUG